UACGUAGGGUGCAAGCGUUGUCCGGAAUUAUUGGGCGUAAAGAGCUUGUAGGCGGUUUGUCGCGUCUGCUGUGAAAUUUCGGGGCUCAACCCCGAACUUGCAGUGGGUACGGGCAGACUAGAGUGUGGUAGGGGAGACUGGAAUUCCUGGUGUAGCGGUGAAAUGCGCAGAUAUCAGGAGGAACACCGAUGGCGAAGGCACUUUACUGGGCUAUUACUAACACUCAGAGACGAAAGCUAGGGUAGCAAAUGGG
rnacentral:rRNA from 1 species